UUUAGUUGAAAUGUACGAGUUCUCAUUAUCUUUCUCAAGUUACUCUUUCAAAUGUUUUUCUUUUUUAACUUUCUUAUCUUUGAUUAUUAUCCCUUUUUGAGUUUGUGGUGAAAGAGAGGCUUUCUUAGCUUUGAAUGAAUUGAAGCAGCAAGCUGUUUUUGAAUGAGCUCGAUGAACUAUUCUAAGUUUCAUUGUAAGAGCAGUUGAUUGGGG
rnacentral:lncRNA from 1 species